rnacentral:rRNA from 1 species
AUUGAACGCUGGCGGCAUGCUUUACACAUGCAAGUCGAACGGUAACAGGCCUUCGGGCGCUGACGAGUGGCGAACGGGUGAGUAAUGCAUCGGAACGUGCUCAGUCGUGGGGGAUAACUAUCCGAAAGGAUAGCUAAUACCGCAUACGAUCUGCGGAUGAAAGCGGGGGACCUUCGGGCCUCGCGCGGAUGGAGGGGCCGAUGUCAGAUUAGGUAGUUGGUGGGGUAAAGGCUCACCAAGCCAACGAUCGGUAGCUGGUCUGAGAGGACGACCAGCCACACUGGGACUGAGACACGGCCCAGACUCCUACGGGAGGCAGCAGUAGGGAAUUUUGGACAAUGGGCGCAAGCCUGAUCCAGCAAUGCCGCGUGCAGGAAGAAGGCCUUCGGGUUGUAAACUGCUUUUAUACGGAACGAAACGGCUCUGGUUAAUACCCGGGGCUAAUGACGGUACCGUAAGAAUAAGCACCGGCUAACUACGUGCCAGCAGCCGCCGUAAGAC